GACGAACGCUGGCGGCGUGCUUAACACAUGCAAGUCGAACGGAAAGGCCCUGCUUUUGUGGGGUGCUCGAGUGGCGAACGGGUGAGUAACACGUGAGUAACCUGCCCUUGACUUUGGGAUAACUUCAGGAAACUGGGGCUAAUACCGGAUAGGAGCUCCUGCUGCAUGGUGGGGGUUGGAAAGUUUCGGCGGUUGGGGAUGGACUCGCGGCUUAUCAGCUUGUUGGUGGGGUAGUGGCUUACCAAGGCUUUGACGGGUAGCCGGCCUGAGAGGGUGACCGGCCACAUUGGGACUGAGAUACGGCCCAGACUCCUACGGGAGGCAGCAGUGGGGAAUAUUGCACAAUGGGCGGAAGCCUGAUGCAGCAACGCCGCGUGCGGGAUGACGGCCUUCGGGUUGUAAACCGCUUUCGCCUGUGACGAAGCGUGAGUGACGGUAAUGGGUAAAGAAGCACCGGCUAACUACGUGCCAGCAGCCGCGGUGAUACGUAGGGUGCGAGCGUUGUCCGGAUUUAUUGGGCGUAAAGGGCUCGUAGGUGGUUGAUCGCGUCGGAAGUGUAAUCUUGGGGCUUAACCCUGAGCGUGCUUUCGAUACGGGUUGACUUGAGGAAGGUAGGGGAGAAUGGAAUUCCUGGUGGAGCGGUGGAAUGCGCAGAUAUCAGGAGGAACACCAGUGGCGAAGGCGGUUCUCUGGGCCUUUCCUGACGCUGAGGAGCGAAAGCGUGGGGAGCGAACAGGCUUAGAUACCCUGGUAGUCCACGCUGUAAACGGUGGGUACUAGGUGUGGGGUCCAUUCCACGGGUUCCGUGCCGUAGCUAACGCUUUAAGUACCCCGCCUGGGGAGUACGGCCGCAAGGCUAAAACUCAAAGGAAUUGACGGGGCCCCGCACAAGCGGCGGAGCAUGCGGAUUAAUUCGAUGCAACGCGUAGAACCUUACCUGGGUUUGACAUGGAUCGGGAGUGCUCAGAGAUGGGUGUGCCUCUUUUGGGGUCGGUUCACAGGUGGUGCAUGCCUGUCGUCAGCUCGUGUCGUGAGAUGUUGGGUUAAGUCCCGCAACGAGCGCAACCCUUGUUCACUGUUGCCAGCACGUUAUGGUGGGGACUCAGUGGAGACCGCCGGGGUCAACUCGGAGGAAGGUGGGGAUGACGUCAAGCCAUCAUGCCCCCUAUGUCCAGGGCUUCACGCAUGCUACAAUGGCUGGUACAGAGAGUGGCGAGCCUGUGAGGGUGAGCGAAUCUCGGAAAGCCGGUCUCAGUUCGGAUUGGGGUCUGCAACUCGACCUCAUGAAGUCGGAGUCGCUAGUAAUCGCAAAUCAGCAACGCUGCGGUGAAUACGUUCCCGGGGCC
rnacentral:rRNA from 1 species